UUGGAGGGCAAGUCUGGUGCCAGCAGCCGCGGUAAUUCCAGCUCCAAUAGCGUAUAUUAAAGUUGUUGCAGUUAAAAAGCUCGUAGUUGAAUUUCGGGGUUCUACCGUUGGUCGGGCUAUUGUCUGUACUGGCGUGUAGAAUUUCUACCUUCUGGGGAACUAUCAUGUUAUUAAUUUAGCGUGGUAGGAAACCAGGACCUUUACCUUGAAAAAAUUAGAGUGUUCAAAGCAGGCUUAUGUCUGAAUACAUUAGCAUGGAAUAAUAAAAUAGGACGGUGGUCCUGUUUUGUUGGUUUCUGAAUCACCGUAAUGAUUAAUAGGGAUAGUUGGGGGCAUUAGUAUUCAAUUGUCAGAGGUGAAAUUCUUGGAUUUAUUGAAGACUAACUACUGCGAAAGCAUUUGCCAAGGAUGUUUUCAUUAAUCAAGAACGAAAGUUAGGGGAUCGAAGACGAUCAGGUACCGUCGUAGUCUUAACCAUAAACUAUGCCGACUAGGGAUCGGGCGAUGUUAACUUUUCUUGACUCGUUCGGCGCCUUACGGGAAA
rnacentral:rRNA from 1 species